GACAGAGGGUGCAAACGUUGUUCGGAAUUACUGGGCGUAAAGCGCGUGUAGGCGGCUAAGUAAGUCGGGCGUGAAAUCCCACGGCUCAACCGUGGAAGUGCACUCGAAACUGCAUAGCUAGAGUCCUGGAGAGGAAGGUGGAAUGCUUGGUGUAGAGGUGAAAUUCGUAGAUAUCAAGCGGAACACCGGUGGCGAAGGCGGCCUUCUGGACAGUGACUGACGCUGAGGCGCGAAAGCGUGGGGAGCAAACAGG
rnacentral:rRNA from 1 species